rnacentral:rRNA from 1 species
GGAAAAGAAAAUAACAAUGAUUUCCCUAGUAACGGCGAGUGAAGAGGAAAGAGCUCAAAGUUGGAACCUGUUUGGCUUAGCAAAACCGGAUUGUAAACUGUAGAAGUGUUUUCCUGACACGCCUGGUAAAAAAGUCCUUUGGAACAGGGCAUCAUAGAGGGUGAGAAUCCCGUCUUUGGCCAGAGCUGUUGUCUUUUGCGAUACAUUUUCAAAGAGUCAGGUUGUUUGGGAAUGCAGCCUAAAUUGGGUGGUAAAUCUCACCUAAAGCUAAAUAUUUGCGAGAGACCGAUAGCGAACAAGUACCGUGAGGGAAAGAUGAAAAGAACUUUGAAAAGAGAGUUAAACAGUAUGUGAAAUUGUUAAAAGGGAACCGUUUGGAGCCAGACUGGCUUGAUCGUAAUCAAUCUAAGCUUCGGCUUGGAUGCACUUGCGGUCUUUGCCUGCCAACGACAAUUUUUUCUGGGGGAAAAAACUAAUGGAAACGUAGCCCAUCUCGGUGGGUGUUAUAGUCCGUUAGAAAAUACCCUGGAUUGGAUUGAGGAACGCAGUGAAUGCUCUUUAGGGCAAGAUUGCUGGGUGCUUUCGCUAAUACAUGCUAAAAUUUCUGCUUCGGGUGGUGUUAGUGUGUAAAGGAGGAACUCGCCUAGUAUAUUUUUUAUUCGCUUAGGUUGUUGGCUUAAUGACUCUAAAUGAC